rnacentral:rRNA from 1 species
AAUAGAUACCCGGGUAGUCCACGCUGUAAACGAUGAGUGCUAGGUGUUGGGUAGCGAUACUCAGUGCCGAAGUAAACACAAUAAGCACUCCGCCUGGGGAGUACGGUCGCAAGACUGAAACUCAAAGGAAUUGACGGGGACCCGCACAAGCAGCGGAGCAUGUGGUUUAAUUCGAAGCAACGCGAAGAACCUUACCAAGGCUUGACAUCCCCUUGACCGGCACAGAGAUGUGCCCUCUCCUUCGGGAGUAAGGGUGACAGGUGGUGCAUGGUUGUCGUCAGCUCGUGUCGUGAGAUGUUGGGUUAAGUCCCGCAACGAGCGCAACCCUUAUCCUUAGUUGCCAUCAUUAAGUUGGGCACUCUAAGGAGACUGCCGAUGAUAAAUCGGAGGAAGGUGGGGAUGACGUCAAAUCAUCAUGCCCCUUAUGUCUUGGGCUACACACGUGCUACAAUGGUCGGUACAAAGGGUAGCGAAGGAGUGAUCUGGAGCGAAUCCCAAUAAACCGAUCUCAGUUCGGA